UACGGAGGGGCUAGCGUUGUUCGGAAUUACUGGGCGUAAAGCGCACGUAGGCGGCUUUGUAAGUUAGAGGUGAAAGCCCGGGGCUCAACUCCGGAAUUGCCUUUAAGACUGCAUCGCUAGAAUUGUGGAGAGGUAAGUGGAAUUCCGAGUGUAGAGGUGAAAUUCGUAGAUAUUCGGAAGAACACCAGUGGCGAAGGCGACUUACUGGACACAUAUUGACGCUGAGGUUGCGAAAGCGUGGGGAGCAAACAGGG
rnacentral:rRNA from 1 species